AGCAGCCGCGGUAAUUCCAGCUCCAAUAGCGUAUAUUAAAGUUGUUGCAGUUAAAAAGCUCGUAGUUGAAUUUCGGGAUCAAUAUGUCGGUCGUGCCUAGGUACGUACUGGCAUCAUUGGUUUCUCCCUUCUGAUGAACCAUGAUGCCAUUAAUUUGGUGUCGUGGGGAAUCAGGACUGUUACUUUGAAAAAAUUAGAGUGUUUAAAGCAGGCUCACGCUUGAAUACAUUAGCAUGGAAUAAUGAAAUAGGACGUUUGAUUCUAUUUUGUUGGUUUCUAGGAUCGACGUA
rnacentral:rRNA from 1 species